rfam:Cardiobacterium valvarum F0432 genomic scaffold Scfld2, whole genome shotgun sequence.
CGGAGUGUAGCGCAGCCUGGUAGCGCACUUGCAUGGGGUGCAAGGGGUCGCAGGUUCAAAUCCUGUCUCUCCGA